GGUAGAGUGGCCGAGAGUUAGGUGGCAGGCUGUAUUCCUGCAAACAUGGGUUUAAGUCCUGUUUCUAUCA
rnacentral:tRNA from 1 species